GAUGAACGCUGACAGCAUGCUUAACACAUGCAAGUCGAAGGGGAAGUGGUGCUUGCUCCAUGGCAACCAUGGCGGACGGGUGAGUAACGCGUAAGGGUCUUACCUGCUGGACUGUGAUAACAGGUGGAAACUCCUGACAAGACCGGAUAAUGUCAUGGCUCUGCCUGGCUUUAUGAUGAAAGGAGACGCCUGCGGGGAGCCUUGCGUCCUAUUAUCGAGUUGGUGAGGUAAUGGCUCAACAAGGCGAAGAUGGGUAGCCGGCCUGAGAGGGUGGACGGCCACAAGGGGACUGAGAUACGGCCGUUACUCCUGCGGGGGACAGCAGUGGGGAAUAGUGGAAAAGGGGGGCAACCGUGAUAGAGCAAUUGUGUGUGGGAGAAGAAGGUUUGGGGAGUAAAAAGUGCUUGCAGGAGAGAAGGAGUGAGUGACGGUACCGGCAGAAGAAGCAACGGCUAAAUACGUG
rnacentral:rRNA from 1 species